ACGAACGCUGGCGGCGUGCUUAACACAUGCAAGUCGAGCGGUAAGGCUCCUUCGGGAGUACACGAGCGGCGAACGGGUGAGUAACACGUGAGUAAUCUGCCCUUCUCUUCGGAAUAAGCGUUGGAAACGACGUCUAAUGCCGAAUAUGACCUUCUUUCGCAUGAUCGAAGGUGGAAAGCUCCGGCGGAGAUGGAUGAACUCGCGGCCUAUCAGCUUGUUGGUGAGGUAAUGGCUCACCAAGGCAUUGACGGGUAGCCGGCCUGAGAGGGUGACCGGCCACACUGGGACUGAGACACGGCCCAGACUCCUACGGGAGGCAGCAGUGGGGAAUAUUGGACAAUGGGCGAAAGCCUGAUCCAGCAACGCCGCGUGAGGGAUGACGGCCUUCGGGUUGUAAACCUCUUUCAGCGGGGACGAAGCGAAAGUGACGGUACCCGCAGAAGAAGGACCGGCCAACUACGU
rnacentral:rRNA from 1 species